UACAGAGGUCUCAAGCGUUGUUCGGAUUCAUUGGGCGUAAAGGGUGCGUAGGUGGCGCCGUAAGUCAGGUGUGAAAUUUCGGAGCUUAAUUCCGAAACUGCAUUUGAUACUGCGGUGCUUGAGGACUGGAGAGGAGACUGGAAUUUACGGUGUAGCAGUGAAAUGCGUAGAGAUCGUAAGGAAGACCAGUGGCGAAGGCGGGUCUCUGGACAGUUCCUGACACUGAGGCACGAAGGCCAGGGGAGCAAACGGG
rnacentral:rRNA from 1 species